rnacentral:rRNA from 1 species
UACGGAGGGUGCAAGCGUUGUCCGGAAUCACUGGGCGUAAAGGGCGCGUAGGCGGCUAUGUAAGCCAGAUGUGAAAGCCCCGGGCUUAACCUGGGAAUGGCAUUUGGGACUGCAAGGCUUGAGUGCGGCAGAGGAGACUGGAAUUCCCGGUGUAGCAGUGAAAUGCGUAGAUAUCGGGAGGAAUACCGAUGGCGAAGGCAGGUCUCUGGGCUGACACUGACGCUCAUGCACGAAAGCGUGGGGAGCAAACAGG